CCGCGCUGCUCGCAGCCCCGCUUCAGCCGUCCUCACAGCGCCCAGUGCCCGGUUUGCUGUUUCCCAGCGUCUUUCUCACCGAGUGCGACCAAAUGCCCUCGAUUCGUUUCGUGAGGGUCUCAGGUGUCGUCUGACCCCCUGGGACGGACCCUGGGGUCCUAAGAGUCGCAGACGCAAUGACUGCCACGCAGAUGGAGCUGUAAUGAAGGCUUUAUUAUUUCACAGACUUUUGUAAGCAGUGCAGGAUAUCAGUAAUCAGAAUCGGCACAGCACAGAUCUUCAUUAGUAGCAGCUUAGAGUUAUGAGGUGUGCCCUCAUCACCUGGACCAGGCCAAACCCUAACGCUGCUCACUCUGAAGGUCAUAAUCUGACCCCAGAACGCACCCAAAGGAAAACAUGUGGCUCAAUCCGUCCUCAGAGGUGCCCCUGACUGAGGGGAUUUCUGUUGGCUGCAGCUCCAGCCUGCAGCCCAUGGGCGGGUGCUGCCCAGCUCCCAGCGUUCCAUGGCACACCCUGUUCCCCUUUGUGUCAUCAUCUGACAUCAUAAAAGGACAGAAGCCUCUACAUCAGUGUUGGCUGAGGCCCGGCUCAGUGCCUCCUGGCAGUCGCAGAGUUGCCCUCGCAUCCAGUUUUCUCUAGAGGACACAAGGAGUCUCUUGUACCUCAGAGGACAAAGGAGAAGAGAGCUAUUCGGCGAAGGACAGAGAAGGGUAUCAGAAGUGUUUCCUGGUAGGAAACAUCAGAAACCUUUCGUUCUUUAGCUUCACGUGCCCACCUGAAGCAAGAGCAUGGUCAGCCUGCUAGAGCUGAUUGCUAACAUCGAGCACUGGAACGAGACUGAUGGCUGCAGCACAGUCACGUUUCCCACACUCGAGAAGCUUUCCACCAAUGAUGUCACUACCAUUUGGAACAGUGUUUUCAAGCGUGUUCAGCAAUUGCUCCUGCUGAAAAAGCCUCUGGCUGUCAGCAUCACCGGACUGGGGACAUUUUGGAUUCAAAAAUGGCAAGCCCUUGAGGAUGGCAAGAUCCUCACGUUUCGGAGACCGCUGUUUUUGCUGUCCAAGGCUGUUACACAGAUCCGGGAUUUCAAAUACUUUCCGAUACACUUGCCUGCUGACAGUGAGAUAGUGGAGCUGAACUGUGAGACCAUACGCCUGCACAGCUCCUAUUCUCAGCAAACAGUGCAGGGCUGUCUGUUGGAGACUUUGGAGUAUUUCUACCACAUCCUAACAAAUGGAGAAGAUGCAGACUUCACAUUAAAGGACAUCGGCACUCUCGCUAUCCGAGCGGAGCAGGUGGAAAUGACAUUCUGUGAAGACUUUUUACUGCAUCUUAACACGUCUACAUACCUGGUACAAAAGCUUUUCAAUAAAAGAUGGGUCAUCUCAGACAAAGAAACUGCUCUCCUGCCGAGCCCACUUGGCCAAGUCCACCUGUUGCCAGAGUUUGUGAUCAAGGAGGUUCCUCAACUUGAUACGAUGCCAAUGCCAGAGGAAAAGCUACUUGAAAGAAAAGAGUCUCUUCUCUGCAAGCUACGCAGACUACGAAGGACCAUUUCUCUCAGCACAUUAACCACAGCUGAGAGCGACAAUGAAGAGGAGCCUGCUGACAGACCUCUCUCACAAGUGCCAGCUGCAGAAGGAAGGCAGGAGAGAGGAAGUCCCACCUUUCCAGUGGUCAUUUCUCAUCCUGAAGAUGAUCCAGAUAAGCUGUCGGCUUGGAUCCAGGAGAGGAAGCGAUUAAUUUCUCAGCUAGAAAGCUCUGUAGACAUUGAGAAAUGGCUGAGAAAUAAAUCUUCCCGGAGCCACGUGGAAGAGAGAGUCUGGGAACGCAUAAAGUCACGCAGAGCAGAGAGAAGGGCUGAACGCAAAGCAGCUGUGACUGAUAAACUGGGCGACACAACACCAGCAAGCAGCAAGCCUCAGCCCCCUCCUUGCAUACCGUACCCCGAGGCUCUCAUUGCACUGCAUAACCUCCUGCGCAAACGGAAGACAACACUGGUGAAUAUCUUCAAGAAAGCUGGCAUGGAAGGCAGAAAUAUCAAGAAAGCAGACUUCAUUAAAAUCAUCAAGCAGGCAAACAUUCCCAUCAACGAAAAGGAGCUGGAGGAUGUGAUCAUCUUUUUGACUGCCCCUAACCGUGGGAAAUAUACGACCGUGGCAAAGCUAAUGGAAAGUCAAAAUGAGUGGCUGGAAAUGAAGAAAAAAGAAUCCAGAGAGACCAAAGGGGGUGCAAAGACUCAGCCCCAUAAAGCCACAUGCAAAUCUGCCACACCUCCACGUUCUGUUGAGGGCAGAGCCAAAGAGAUGGAUCCUACCAAGCCCCCAGUGAAGUUAACACCCUUAGAAGUUACCCCAGUCCAUGCUGAGCCAGCACAAAGACAUCAAACAGCCCAUGAAAAGAAAGAGUCUACAAAACCAUCUGGAGACGGGACACAGAAAACUGUCAAGAGACGAGAGGUGAAAAAGGGCAAGGGCAGCCCAAUCAGAGCUCAGCUGGAGAGAUCUGGGGAGCUAACUGUUAAAGAGCACUGCUUCCCAUCAACUACAAGCAGUGCCAUGGGAGCACUGGUCGACCAGUACCGCAGCAAGGCGGCUGCGAGUUACCUGAAUUCCUCCAAGCUGUGCAAAGAGCGUGACAUUCAUCUCGCCGAGUCAGUGCUGCAGAGAGGCCUGCUGCACCCAGGAGACAAAACCAUCAAAAAAGGACGAUAUCUGAGGAAGAUCAGGCAGCCUGGAGGAUACUACAACAUAGGACUUGCCGAUACGUCCUCACCUCUGAGCAUGUCCAGGUCAUCAAAAAGUACAGCUGGAAACCUGGGCAAAGAAGGCAAAAACAAGAAGGCUUCAGAGGAGUUUUGCCAUUACGAAUCUCAUCAGAGGAAUCAGAAAGAAAAGAGCAACAGGUUCUGGCCAGGUCACCUUCUGGACAAGAUGCGCCUCUGCAUUCCAGAAGAGAAGAUCAACAGGGCGCACCCCUUGUUCAGCUGUGUUCGCCCAACCCGGCCUGCAUACAAGAUUAUCUAAAACCACAACCAGGACCAGCCAGCCACUGUCUGUGUCCACCAGAGACGUGGCAUCCAAGUCUCAUUCCACCUGAAGGUCUUCCAGCAGCACAAGAUGUGCACAGAACGUUGCAUUUCAUCAUCAGCUCAAGAGAUCUGAGCCGUUCUGAUAAAGCACAGACACAGAAUACCCUGAGCUGGAAUGGACCCACAGAAGUCAUCUGGUCCAACAAUUCAAACCCAAAUAAAAAACAUCAUCCAUCCAAUUCUCAGGACUACUUGCAUUCUAUAAAUGGAGAAAUAGAGAUAAGCAACACUGCACCAAUGGAAUCCACAGCGUCAUUCACUUGAACUGGCAUUCCUGACCAAUGCUGUGCUCCCAGAGGAGCGCUCACUGCUGCACCUCACAGUCAGAAGGCAGCAAGAAGUGCUUUCCAUGCACAGAGAGCAGAGAACCAUCUCUGGUGACUGCAAUGUGGGGCACAUUUGGUGUCCUUAUGUGUUACCUACAAAUAACUCCAAUGAGAAAACCACUGCUCAUUUUCUGAACAGUUCAAAUUAGAUAUGGAGGUUGUCUGCCCUGCCUGUGGCAGGGGGUUGGAGCCUGAUGAUCUUUGAGGUCCCUUUCAACCCAAGCCAUUCUAUCAUUCAAAUUACCAAGAAGGUAAUGCAGAGGCCAAGCACAUGGCACACUAAAUGUGACAAGCUAGCUCCUGUCUCCUGCCAUGCCCAGAAGCAUGAGCACUGUACGGGGCGAGGAGCUGCAGAUGGAGAGUGCUUGCAGCCCUUGGAGGGCCAUGGCAGAUAAUGCUGCCAGGAUCAGCACUCCCAUCAGUGGGCUACAGCUGAGAGAGCAAAGAGUGCCCCAGAUCAGCCACAGCCCAUUCACCUGGGUUUGAAGCCAGGUUCAACCAAGAGUGUGAACCGAGACAGGAGCUCGUGCUGGAGGGCAGGGAUGUCAGAGUCUGGUCAGGUUCACACAGCUUUUCAGAUCGAGGUAAACAUGAAUAAAAUCAGCGCCAUUCAGGUGAAAAUUGGCGGGAAGCGACGGCCGCGCUCUCCCACCCCCCCCCC